UUCUCCUUAGUCCUCCUUUUUGUGUUGAUGUAUUUAUAAAAACAUUUUUUGUUAUCUUUAACAGCAGUAGCCAGAUUGAGCUCCAGAUGAGCUUUGGCCUUCCUAAUUUUGUCCCUGCACUGCCUCGCAACAUCCUUAUAGUCCUCCCUAGUGGCCUGCCCACUUUUCCAAAGAUAAUAAACCCUCUUUUUUCUCCUAAGCUCAAGCCACAGUUCUCUGUUGAGCCAGGCUGGUCUUCUUGGCUAUGAAGGGUCACAUUAACCCUUACAACUGUGUUAACUUCAAGCCCUACCUAGCUGCAAUCUCCAACUUGAUGACGGUCAGCUAGCUGUUCAACAAAAGUUAUCUGCUUCUAGUAUUACUAGUACAGCUCUUUUACAUACACAAAUAUACACAUGCUCACACACAGAUUAUGUUCUACAGGCCUAGCCUCUCCUUGCCGUAGAGCAGAUGCUCCACAGGCCCUGUCUGUAUCAUACACAGACAGCAGGUACCACUGGCUCUAUACCACCUGCAAGUAUAAAACUAAAAUAAAUAAAUAAAUAAGAAUCCACCACCUAACCAAAACACCAGAACCAUGCUGUGACAAAAAAAAUAUCCUCCCACCCCAAACUAGCAGCCCUCCACAGCGUCUGAGCUAUCAAGAAGGAACACAAGGUUAUGAUCAUGCCCCCUUCUAAAACUAUUAUCUUCUGUAGAAAGCUAAAGCUUUGAUUAGUCAUACGGUGCCCAGAGUUGCAAGGAAUGAGACAGAAAAUUCCCUGCAGCAAGUUAACCACGAUCUGUGCAGGAGACCAAGGCAGGAGAAAGAUGACAAGGAAUCAAGGAAAUCAGAGCGGGCAGUUUAGCUGGAGUUGCAGGAAAAAGUAGGCAGGUUGUACAUGACAAGAAAAAACAAUCCCAGAUGUCCUUUCCUCAAUAAACUAACAUGUGGAAGGUCCUCACCAUCCCGCUCAGGCAGCGCAGAAGAGAAGAAAACAGGCCACUUUGACUCUGGACAGGGAAGGUCCACCUUACUGUAUACACAUCUGCUCUUCAGGAAAGCUGUGCGAGUCUUUUUCACUUCCAAGAGAUAAUAAAAAACAUUGAAUCUCAAGUGCCCAAUAAUCCAUCAAAGAGCAGAACUGCAGCUUUUAAGACUUGUAGAAAAACAUGGCAAUGCUGCACAAGUCUUUUACCCCCAAGCAGCUCAACUAAUGGAUUUGGAGAAUGCUUUGUGGGAGAAAAACUGCAUCUCUUCCCCUCCCAUUAAAAGGCAUUUAUAGGCUAAUUUAUUUUUCUCUGCCUAUGAAAAAUUAAGGCAGCGCAACUCUAUUUUUCAUAUAAGCCAAGAGCUUACUCAAAACAAAAUGAUUAUCAAACUUUGCCAUUACAAGGCAGGACAUCAAGCAAAACCCCUUCCUUCCUGCGUAGCACCUGGGUGCACAUGCCCACUGCUUGGGGCAGGCUAUGCUACACCUAAGGGAUUUGCUGCAGUGAUGUCUGUCGUAUAUUGAAGUCAGGAACUUCAGCAGGCCCCUCCUUGGUAAGUUCAUUGCUAUCUUCUGGUGUUCUAACUUAGGUCCAAUCUAGCUCGAUGCUUUUGAAGUCUUCUUAAGAAAAAGUAAGACAAAAAGCCACAUUUCACACUCUAGGAAUUUCAUUCUUUACUGGAACGAUUUUCUGGUACAUUAUUUUCAUCCAAAAAACCUACGCAAAACACAACAGUUUUUUUGGCCAGACAACAGAAAUAAACUUAGCUCCGUUUUGUUUGCUUUUUGCUGUUGCUUUGCUUGUUGUUUUUAAUUACACAGGCUGUAAUCAAUUGAAGUUGACUGAACUGACUACAGUGAAAUAUUAAAAACUAUCAGAAUGUCCUUGGAGAGCUGGAUUUAUUUUUUAUAAUAAACUAAGCUGAGUUAUUUGAAUACAUAUUUAUAGUUCAUUCAUUACACGCACUAUUCAUGCAGAUACUUUAAUUAACAUAACGCAACGUUAUGAAGUGUACUGUGGGGUUGGGAAAAAAUAGCAGAGGCAAGUUUUCUAAAACAUGGAAAUACUGAGCUCCAACAGUAGCAAAAUUGAAGCUCAAGGCAAAUGGAUUCAGGGUAUUACAUCAAAAUCCGCACAGGAGCAGCACCAACAACCAGGUACAAAAUAGGCCAGUGGAGAUAAAUUGAGAGCUGUUUCACAAGCUAAUUUUUCUCACUUGUCACAGCUUUUUUUUUUUUUUUUUUUUUUUUGCUGAGCACUCCAGAAGACAACUGCUUUGAAGAUUUUACAGCUAAUGUACUGCUUUAUAAAACAUGUGCCAACGGCAAAAAAAACAGCCUUGGAAAUAGUGUCAGAACGUAGCUUGGAUUUGGACUAUAUGUCACGCAUGCCAGUACAGUUGUCCAACACAUAAAAUACAUGGUAAAAA
ensembl:lncRNA